rnacentral:rRNA from 1 species
AACGAACGCUGGCGGCAUGCCUAACACAUGCAAGUCGAACGAGACCUUCGGGUCUAGUGGCGCACGGGUGCGUAACGCGUGGGAACCUGCCCUUAGGUUCGGAAUAACUCCCCGAAAGGGGUGCUAAUACCGGAUAAUGUCUUCGGACCAAAGAUUUAUCGCCUUUGGAUGGGCCCGCGUUGGAUUAGCUAGUUGGAAGGGUAAAAGCCUACCAAGGCGACGAUCCAUAGCUGGUCUGAGAGGAUGAUCAGCCACACUGGGACUGAGACACGGCCCAGACUCCUACGGGAGGCAGCAGUGGGGAAUAUUGGACAAUGGGCGAAAGCCUGAUCCAGCAAUGCCGCGUGAGUGAUGAAGGCCUUAGGGUUGUAAAGCCCUUUUACCCGGGAUGAUAAUGACAGUACCGGGAGAAUAAGCUCCGGCUAACUCCGUG